CCUACGGGUGGCAGCAGUGAGGAAUAUUGGUCAAUGGACGCAAGUCUGAACCAGCCAUGCCGCGUGCAGGAAGACGGCUCUAUGAGUUGUAAACUGCUUUUGUACGAGGGUAAACGCAGAUACGCGUAUCUGUCUGCAAGUAUCGUACUAAUAAGGAUCGGCUAACUCCGUGCCAGCAGCCGCGGUAAUACGGAGGAUUCAAGCGUUAUCCGGAUUUAUUGGGUUUAAAGGGUGCGUAGGCGGUCGGAUAAGUUAGAGGUGAAAUCCCGAGGCUCAACUUCGGAAUUGCCUCUGAUACUGUUCGGCUAGAGAGUAGUUGCGGUAGGCGGAAUGUAUGGUGUAGCGGUGAAAUGCUUAGAGAUCAUACAGAACACCGAUUGCGAAGGCAGCUUACCAAGCUACUUCUGACGUUGAGGCACGAAAGCGUGGGGAGCAAACAGGAUUAGAUACCCCAGUAGUC
rnacentral:rRNA from 1 species